CCCAGGGCUACGCCCUGGGCUGGGAUAUACCGCCCCUUUGGGGCU
rfam:Granulicella mallensis MP5ACTX8, complete genome.